rnacentral:rRNA from 1 species
UAAUACGAAGGGGGCUAGCGUUGCUCGGAAUGACUGGGCGUAAAGGGCGCGUAGGCGGCACACACAGUCAGGCGUGAAAUUCCUGGGCUUAACCUGGGGGCUGCGUUUGAUACAUGUGAGCUAGAGGAUGGAAGAGGCUCGUGGAAUUCCCAGUGUAGAGGUGAAAUUCGUAGAUAUUGGGAAGAACACCGGUGGCGAAGGCGGCGAGCUGGUCCAUUACUGACGCUGAGGCGCGAAAGCGUGGGGAGCAAACAGGAUUAGAUACCCUGGUAGUCCACGCUGUAAACGAUGUGCGCUGGAUGUUGGGUGACUUAGUCACUCAGUGUCGUAGCUAACGCGAUAAGCGCACCGCCUGGGGAGUACGGCCGCAAGGUUG